UCAUUAGUUUUUUAAUUGAAAACUUGUAUGAAUGGUUGGACAAAGAAGAGACUGUCUCUUGUGUUAUAAUUGAAUUUAACUUUUAAGUGAAAAGGCUUAAAUAUUCUAGAGGGACGAUAAGACCCUAUAAAGCUUUAUAAAUUUGAAGAUUUUGUGUAUUUUUAUAUAAAAAUGAAUUUUGAAGAUUUUAUUUGGUUGGGGCGACAAUGGUAUAAUGAGAAUAACUGCUAUUAAAAUUAACAAUUAUAUUUGAAUUAUUAAUAAUUGAUCCUUUAUAAGGAUUUUAAGAUCAAGUUACUUUAGGGAUAACAGCGUUAUUUUUCUUGAGAGUUCUUAUCAAAGGAAAAGUUUGCGACCUCGAUGUUGAAUUAAAAUGUCUAUAUAGUGCAGCAGCUAUAAAAGAAGGUCUGUUCGACCUUUAAUAUUUUACAUGAUUUGAGUUC
rnacentral:rRNA from 1 species